rnacentral:tRNA from 1 species
AUGGUGGCUCAGUGGUUGAGUGCUUGCCUUGCAUGCAUGAAGCCCUGGGUUCAAUUCCCCAGCACCAUA